rnacentral:lncRNA from 1 species
UCUACGCGAGUCUACGUAGACAGCGCCAGUAACGCGACCGGUUGGUAGACUUGUUGUUUUGCUGAGAGGGUCUCUUGUCGUUCCUUUUCCAUCGCGUCGCCUCUCUGCCGGCUGCCCUGUUCAAUAGUGAAUGCCGUAGCGAGUAGCGGCCUCCUCAGCUAGCACGUCAGCCGGUCGCUCGGCUGCUUGCUUUGUCGGUCGGUCUCUUCGCCUUUCAUUUAGUUCAUCAGUAUCGAAGCGAAAGUCCUGGAGACAGUAUCUUGCUCAAAACGCUUGCGAGGCUCUUCUGUUCUUCGCCGAACUUACGGAUCUCAGGGCGCAAUUUUUCGACUGAUAAGUCAUCGAUUACACUCUGGUAUUUCAACGGAAUUCCCUCAACAUGUCGAACUCGAGCAAGAAUGAUACGCAAGGUGGGACAAUCACUAACAUGACGCGUCGACACUCAGCCGACGAAGUUGUCCGAGGUGGCUUCUUCAUGCGAGGCUUAGCAGGCAUGGGUUCACGAAUCGGACGUGAGCGCACCGUCUCCGAAGUUGUACAUGAGACCCAUGAGUCCACACCGCCGACGGAAUCAUCGCAGAAAGAGAGGAGAAUCUCGGUCAUGUCGCUUUGUCCAAUAUAAAUUCAAGAGAUGCAAGAACAUUCCGAGUUGAUGAGAAACGGGUAGGAGAACCAGAGAGCUCCGGACAGGAGGUCGGACUCGGAUCAUGUGAUGCCCGCUGCCUCUCCACGAGGUCUAUGCGAAAAUCGACCGCGUUCGGCUAGCGUCCGAGAUGGCUUCCGUGAAGUCAAGCUCAUCGCCUUCCGAUACACAUUUAUGCUUAUCUGUGUAAGCUCCGUAUUCAAGAGGACGGAUGAUUAUAUUUUUUCCUCAAAACUAUAUGUAUGAAUCGUUGAAUGUUAUACCACCCGCGUGGCGCCGGGGCUCUUCGACGACUGCUCUCGGAAGCCGCUUACACAUCGAUCACAAACACACAAUCAACCAAACAGGUAUACUCCUGGACACACACACAAGACGCUCCCCCAAAGCAAAGCCCUGUAUCCGACCGCGAAAAUUCCAGCUGUGGAUUAGGGAUGUUCGGAAUGCGGUCGAUCCCCGCCAUUGGUAUCCCGGUAUUGACUGAAGAACAAUUCUAGCAUCGGAUGCUCCUUCUUUUGAGAAAUUGUGGAAAGCGAGGGUGAUACUCGCGAAACCGUUGUCGAAGCAGCUAGUCGAUUUUUUUUCUUAUUCAGCCAUUUGUCUUCCGGGGCGAGCGCGUGAGUUCUUGUGUGUGCUGCUCGUCUGUGAACUCGCUUCUGCGUUCGAUGUUUUAAACAGAGACGCACUACACAAUAGGUAGAAGAGACAGAUGCUGAGCAUGUUAACGGAAGCUCCCGGAACGAGCUUCCAGAGACCGUCGACUGAAGAUCGGAAAGCUUGUGGUCGAACACUUUUGUUCUGUUCUUUCCCUCGUGCGGGCCAACAUGUUGAGUGGGGCGCGAGGGACUGAGUCGAUCGUCGUCGAUAGAUAUCCGGUGUGAGUUAACGAUACAUAGAUUCGUUCUACGUCUUCGUGCUCGAGCGACUUUCGGGAUCGGCGUCCCUGAACGGUCAGCAUGUAAUGUGAAUAAGACAACUGUGUAACUAAUGAUGGAUAUCUUGUAAUUAUGGAUGGACACUCUUUCAAAGAUAUCACGCAGGACCGAGAAAGAGAACAGUCAUUUUCACGGUACUCUGAACAGAUUGUGGUAAGGACGUUGAGGUAAUAAAGUCGGUACUCGUGUACCAUGAAACAA